rnacentral:rRNA from 1 species
GACAGCAGCAGCCGCGGGAAAACGGAGGGUGCAAGCGUUAUCCGGAUUUAUUGGGUUUAAAGGGUCCGUAGGCGGAUCUGUAAGUCAGUGGUGAAAUCUCACAGCUUAACUGUGAAACUGCCAUUGAUACUGCAGGUCUUGAGUAAAUUUGAAGUGGCUGGAAUAAGUAGUGUAGCGGUGAAAUGCAUAGAUAUUACUUAGAACACCAAUUGCGAAGGCAGGUCACUAAGAUUUAACUGACGCUGAUGGACGAAAGCGUGGGGAGCGAACAGGAUUAGAUACCCCUGUAGUCCCUGUCUCUUAUAC